rnacentral:rRNA from 1 species
UAGAAAUGUAGUUUAUUUAAUUAAUUGAUUAAUAGUUAUGGUCUUUAAAGAUAAAUAAUUUGGCGGUAUUUUAGUCUUUUCAGAGGAACCUGUUCUAUAAGCGAUAAUCCACGAGUGUAUCUUCUUAUAUUAGAAAUUUAUAUAUCAUCGUUAUUAAAUAUUUUUUUAGAACGUAAUAUUUAUAAAAUAAGAUUUUAUCUUAAUUCAGAUCAAGGUAUAGUUUAUAUAUAAGUAGUAAUGGGUUACAAUAUUAUUAAAUUUUGAUUUUAUAAUUUAAAUUUAAAUGAAAUUGGAUUUGAAAGUAAUUAUUUUUUUAUAAGAAUAAUGAUUAAGCUCUAAAAUAUGU